CGUUUCGGUCACAGAGACGCUGAAUCAAUUGGCAGCACAUGUGGAAGACGAAAGAUUUCGGUCACAGAUUCUGUCAUCGGCUGCUCAGUCUAACCCUGACUUACAGGAAGAUGUGCAGGUAGCCCCUACACAGGAGGGAGAGACACAAGAGAAAGAGGAGCUGGACCUCUCCUCUGUCAUAUCACUCAUCAGCACCCAGACAGCACCUACAAACACCCCUGUUUUGCCUGUGAUUGAAAAGAAGCUUCACCGCCCUCCAAGGCCCACAAAGCUCUCCUCCUCUUCAUCAUCCACUGUUGCCAGUGUUCCCCACCCCUUCUCCACCCUCCUCCCUGGGGCUCUCUCUGCUAUCCUGCGUGUGACCCUGCCCCCUCACCUCACCUCUAACCCCAAGCCCAGGAGGGAGCCAAGUGCCCAGGGCCCACUGACCCUAGAACAGGUGCAGACAGAGCUCCGGGACUUGAGGGAAGAGGUAGAAAUGAUGAAGAGCCAGCACAAGUAAGUCUUUAUCUUUGCGUGUAACUACAGUAUGUCUUGUAUUGUGUUUUCCAAGUGUGCCUCUGAUUUAGGAUUUAUCUUCUCUGUUAGCAA